AGUAAGAUGGCUGAGAAUACUAAGCGAGAGACUGUAAAUCUUUUUACGGGUAACCCCCUCUUACU
rnacentral:tRNA from 1 species